UCUGUUCUUCAUUUCACAGCUUUACUCGCUUGAAAUCGGUUAUUUUUGUGUCCUUGAAAUGUCCAUUGCUCUUUGCACUUGUUUGUGGUUUGUUUACUGAAAUCGAAACUGCAAAUUUUUGUGUUUAGCUGUUAAAAUUUCAGCUUAAUUUGUUCGGAUCUGGUAUAGAUACUAUUUCCGUACUCACGAUACUGUAAUGGCGGCUCUAAUAAUUCUAUCUUGAAAUUAGGCUUUGAAUAUGUAGAAAAACCGGUACGAUGGAGUUGUGGAAGUGAAAAUUAUAGAUCAAAUUGAGUGAGAAAAUUGGGCUUGGAAGUACCGGUAAAGCGAUAUUACCUUGUUUACAACUCUUUUCAAAUUUUUUAUUGUUUGUUUGUUUGUUUUUGGAGCUCUAUUUGUUUAACAUUUACUAUACAGUACUUCUGCUUUUAAUAUUUAAUGGCUCAAUGCACUAUUGAUUGUGAUACCAAUAUAGAAUUCAUAUCAUAUCCUUGUUCUGUAUAAGAUUGGAGACAAGUGAAGAUAUAAUAGAUUUUAUUCAGGAUAUAAUUGUUAUUCUGGUCUCAGGCUUUAAGGGUGAAAAGAGAUAAAUUAAUACUAAGCGAAGUCUAUAAAUUGAAUAGAAUGUUUUGUGGGACGUAAUAGGUACUAAUAUAAAUUGCAGCAUGAAAAGAGAUAAAAUAAAGUAUUUUUAGAGCCUGUACGUAACACAUUUGUUAUAAUAUCUUCUAAAAAGCUCUUCCAUGCCUUUGUUUUGUGGAGAAAUCUACACAACUUUGAUAUUGUGCAUUAGAGUAGAUUUUUUUGCUAUGCCACGUUUCAUUUCAGAUUGGCUUGUGUUAUUCUUUGCCUGACUAGAACUGAAGGCUUCUAGGGCAUUCUACAUGGACUAAAUUCUUAAAAGAAGCUAUUAUUUAUCAAAAUAAAAAAUAAAAAAUAAUAUGAGCGUUAUCAUAUGAGCGUUAGGACAUUAUUUAGAACUUCAUGUUAAAUCUUUUGAUUUCAUUCUAGCAUUCAUUUGUUUUCAUAGUAGUUAAGAGACUUUUAUCUCCAUUGAAAGGGACAAUAGAAAGUAGCCUUCAUUAAAUACCUAACAAGUUGUAUAUAUCCAAGUUUGUGAUCUAGGAACCUGGUUUGGAAGAUUGCUUUCACUCCCUCUGUAAUGCCUUCAAUUGUCAACAAUAAUAGGUAUGGUUAUAGAGUUGGUGGUUGGUGAUAGUGCUAUAAUGAUGGGGGAGUUGGGUGGGGAUAGAUGAUAAGGAGAGGACUUGUGAGAAAAUCUAUCAACACAUAAAAGAAAACCCUUACAAUUUCAGAUCUAUGUGCUUGAAAUUUGUAGUUAGAACUUUGUUUGUUAUGAUGGCUGCAUAACAUUGUUUCUAACGGCUUUUUUGAUGAAUUCUCUCUUUUCUUACUUUACUGUACUUGCUCUUUUUUAUUAUUAUUGCAUGCAUAUUGACCCAUUCAUGAAACAUAUUUAUUAUUUGUAACCAAAUCAUGACCCAAUUCACAAUUUGGAUGUUAAUAGCUGCCAACUAGUUGUGAUGUAUUUUUGAACUAUGAUGUAAUUGUGCCAAGCCUUAUCUUGUAUUACUUCUUUAUUAAUAAAAUUCCAUUUUCUUUGUUGAUGAAUUUUUUUUUUCUUCUUUUGUGUGUUUGGUGAUUUAAAAAAAAUUCAUGACUGUGUAAUAUACAUUUGUUGAUACUACCAAUGUUGCUAUAUGGGGACCAAUAUCGACUCCUAUCGGGAUACUGUUAUCUAAAAUCCCGAUUCUAACUCCAUUUUGUAACCUUUUGCUCUGAAUGCAUCAAUUUGCGACAAGUAUAUUAUGAGGUAUUUUUGUAGGGCUUAUGAUAAAAUUGCAACCAAGUGUGACGGCACGGAGGCUGUCACCAACUUCGAUCCCAGCAUCUAUGAAGAUGAGCUUAAAUCUACUAGUAAUUAUAGUACUGAAUAAUACUGAUGCCAAUUUUGUAUAAUGUUUGUUUUUUCAAAGUGUUUCUGAAUCAAAUUUGAUUGUUAUAUAUCUGUUUCCCAGAGUCUCCUAGAAAUGCUACACCGAACCAUAACUUAGAUUUGAGAUUGGGUAGUUUGACCUCAAAACACAAAAAAGCCGAGAAUUGGGAAAUGAAAUCCAAAAUGUUGAUCAGUCAGAUCAGCAUCAUACUACCAUACCAUUUGAAGCAGAUUGGCACAACCGGGCAUUUAGGCCACAGCUCAAUAUUCAACAAGAACCAUAUAGAAUUAAUUCCCAUAGAAGAGAAGGGUACAAUGAGGCCGAGACAGUGCAACUUCUAAGCCAAACCCACAUUCAAUCUUCGAGUUCACUAAGACCCAGGCAAUUCGUUAAGGAGAGUGAAAACUCAAUGCUUCACAUGUUUUCACCCUCAUCAAACUGUCAAGUUUAGUAUCCUAGCAGCAGCAGUAAUGGAGGUCAAAUUGGAGCCACCACCAGAGGCAAUCACCUCUCCCUGUCAAUGAACAACAAUCAGUAAAGGUCGUUCAUCAAUCCUCUGCAAUUGUUUGCAACUGCUGCAACAUCAUUAGGAUUCCCACAGCAGAUAACUACCCGACCCCAAAAUUGGCUACACCAGAAAAAUGGAUUUUACUCUCUGAAGAGACCCUCUUGACCCAACUUUUUGUUUUUGGUUUUUUAAAUCUUUAUGUAACAAGGCCUUUCGAGUUUGUAAGCAUGUAAAGAUUAAUGCUUUGAGCUUAAAUUUCUUCUUUUCCAGUCUCAAAAUAGUAUGUCAAACCCAAGUCACGAGUAUAUAACUUGGAUUCAAUAUCAGAUGAGAAAAAUUCAACGUUUGCAUAA